AUGGUUCAUUGGAUCAGUCUAAAACUUUGCACAUGCACUGCUGCCACUAGUGGCCGAAAUCUAAAUUGCACCUGGGGCUUGGGCCCCGUGUACACAUGCUGCUCUUCCCUCCGUUCCUCCGCCCCGUGUACACAUGCUGCUCUUCCUCCUCCGUUCCGUGUACACAUGCUGCUCUUCCUCCUCCGCCCUCUGCUCCGUGUACACAUGCCGCCUCUUCCUCCUCCGCCCUCUGCUCCGUGUACACAUGCUGCUGCUCCUCCGCCCUCUGCUCCGUGUACACGUGCUGCUCCUCCGCCCUCUGCUCCGUGUACACGUGCUGCUCCUCCGUUCCUCCGCCCUCUGCUCCGUGUACACGUGCUGCUCCUCCGUUCCUCCGCCCUCUGCUCCGUGUACACGUGCUGCUCCUCCGUUCCUCCGCCCUCUGCUCCGUGUACACGUGCUGCUCCUUCCGUUCCUCCGCCCUCUGCUCCGUGUACACGUGCUGCUCCUCCGUUCCUCCGCCCUCUGCUCCGGUACACUCUGCUCUUCCGUUCCUUCCUCCGACCUCUGCUCCGUGUACACGGCUGCUCUUCCGUUCCUCCGCCCUGCUCCGUGUACCAUGGAUCUUCCCCUCGCCCCUGCCCCUCUGCUCCGUGUACACAUGCUGCUCUUCCUCCUCCGCCCGCCCCCUCUGCUCCGUGUACACAUGCUGCUCUUCCUCCUCCGUCCUCCGCCCCCUGCUCCGUGUACACAUGCUGCUCUUCCUCCUCCCCCUCUCCUCCGUGUACACAUGCUGCUCUCCUCCUCCGCCCUCUGCUCCGUGUACACAUGCUGCUCUUCUCCUCCGCCUCUCCGGUACACAUGCUGAUCUUCCUCCUCCGCCCCUGCCCCUCUGCUCCGUGUACACAGGCUCUCUCCUCCUCCGCCCCUGCCCCCUCUGCUCCGUGUACACAUGCUGCUCUUCCUCCUCCGUCCUCGCCCUCCUCCGUGUACACAUGCUGCCUCUUCCUCCUCCGCCCUCUGCUCCGUGUACACAUGCUGCUUCUUCCUCGUCCGUUCCGUCCUCCCGCCCUCUGCUCCGUGUACACAUGCUGCUCUUCCUCCGCCCCUGCCCCCUCUGCUCCGUGUACACAUGCUGCCUUCCUCCUCCGCCCUCUGCCUCCGUGUACACAUGCUGCUCUUCCUCCUCCGUUCCUCCGCCCCUCUGCUCGUGUACACAUGCUGCCUUCCUCCUCCGCCCUGCCCCCUCUGCUCCUACACAUGCUGCCUUCCCUCCUCCUCCGCCUCCUGGCUGUCUCCGUGUACACAUGCUGCUCUUCCUCUCGCCCCUGCCCCCUCUGCUUCUGCUCCGGGGGACACAGGCUGCGCUUCCUUCAGAAAAGCAUCCAUCACAACUUGGUUCAUUUGCAAAUAUCUCUCGUUCACUUUCGCUUGUAAAUGUCCACACUCACCGAAAAUUACAUAAGGAAGCUACUAGCUAUUGUUCUAUAACUUUAUAAAGCUGGAUUUGCCUCUUUGCAUAUAGUUUGUUUGUUUUCACCCAUUAGCAUUUUGCUAAGAGUGUGUGAUUUCUCUAUUAAAUUUGUGCAAAUUUUGUUAGCAUUCUUACAAUAGAAUGCACUCCUUGUGUGCCAUGCCGGUAAAACCAUAAAUCCCAGGACGAGAAGAACGGUAUGAACAUCUGAGUACCGCCCAUCCUACUGAAUAGCAUACCAGGCCAGUUACAACACAAACUUCUGGGUACCGCCCAUCCUACUGAAUAGGAUACCAGGCCAGUUACAACACAAACUUCUGGGUACCGCCCAUCCUACUGAAUAGGAUACCAGGCCAGUCACCACACCCUAAAAAAUGUUCACAAUAUAUCAACAUGAACUUUUACCAGUUGAAUGUAGACAAACAUUUUUCUAUUAUCAACAACUUUGCACAUUUCUGGGGUUUAAACAAAAUAUGCAAAUCAGUCAUGUUGGGUAAUAAAGUAUGUUGAGUAAUAACAGAUUACGGAUAGAAGCAGGCUACCUGGCCUGCGCGCAAAUGUAGAAAUGUGUCCAUUUGGGAUCUCUGAUAGUUAAGACAAUCAAACUCACCACCACUAAUGAACUGUAUUGUAUUCUUCACCUCAAAUUAAGUAAACAAAGUCUUUUUUUACAUCGAAUGACAAUAGUUACUCAAUGAAGUUCAAUUUUUUAUUUUUUUCGAGCUCUCUCCAAUUUUGAUAACCACCGAUAACACCGAGGCUCAUAAAAUGCCCAAUUCAUUUGUUAUCCCUUGUGGAAAUACAGCCGUUUCUGUCCAGAGCUCACUGGUGCCCGAGGGGCCAGAACAGUUGGUACAAUGCUGCAAGUUUGUUGGCAAGUUUAAUUUAAUGUACUUACAUUUCCCUCACUAACUUUCAACAUCAGCUAUCUGAGCAGCUAACCGAUCACUGCAGCUGGACACAGCCCAUCUGUAAAUAGCCCACCCAAUCUACCUACCUCAUCCCCAUACUGUUCUUAUUUACUUUGCUGCUCUUUUGCACACCAGUAUCACUACAUACACAUCAUCUGCUCAUCUAUCACUCCAGUGUUAAUCUGCUAAAUUGUAGUCACUUUGCUACUAGUUAUUGACUUACCUCCUCACUCCAAUUGCACACACUGUAUAUAGACUUUUCUAUUGUGUUAUUGACUGUACACUUGUUUAUUCCAUGUGUAACUCUGUUGUUUGUGUCGCACUCCUCCU
ensembl:lncRNA